rnacentral:rRNA from 1 species
ACGGCUCAGUAACACGUAGAUAAUUUGCCCUUAGGUGGAGGAUACCCUCGGGAAACUGAGAAUAAUACUCCAUAGAUCUAGACUGCUGGAAUGCUUUUAGAUCGAAAGAUUUAUCGCCUAAGGAUAAGUCUGCGGACUAUCAGGUUGUAGUUAGGGUAAAUACCUGACUAGCCUACGACGGAUACGGGUAGUGAGAGCUUUAGCCCGGAGAUGAUAUCUGAGACACGAUAUCAGGCCCUACGGGGCGCAGCAGGCGCGAAAACUUCGCACUGCGCGAAAGCACGACGAGGGAAUCCCAAGUGCUGGCUCGUAAGAGUCAGCUGUUUUUCUGUCUAAAAAGCAGGGAGAGUAAGAGCUGGGUAAGACGGGUGCCAGCCGCCGCGGUAAUACCUGCAGCUCAAGUGGUGGCCGCUAUUAUUGGGCCUAAAACGUCCGUAGCCGGUUCUAUAAAUGCCUGGGUAAAUCGUACGGCUUAACCGUACGAAUUCCGGGUAGACUGUUCAACUUGGGACCGGGAGAGGCUAGAGGUACUCCUGGGGUAGAGGUGAAAUUCUGUAAUCCUAGGGGGACCACCAGUGGCGAAGGCGUCUAGCUAGAACGGGUCUGACGGUGAGGGACGAAGCCCUGGGGAGCAAACGGGAUUAGAUACCCCGGUAGUCCAGGGUGUAAACGCUGCUCGCUUGAUGUUAGUCGGGCUCCGAGCCCAACUAGUGUC